CCCCUUCGGGGACAGGGUGACAGGUGGUGCAUGGUUGUCGUCAGCUCGUGUCGUGAGAUGUUGGGUUAAGUCCCGCAACGAGCGCAACCCCUAUUCCUAGUUGCCAGCAAGUAAUGUUGGGGACUCUAGGAAGACUGCCGGCGUAAGCCGAGAGGAAGGUGGGGACGACGUCAAAUCAUCAUGGCCUUUAUGCCCAGGGCUACACACGUGCUACAAUGGCCAGAACAGAGGGUAGCGAGACCGCGAGGUUUAGCCAAUCCCAGAAAUCUGGUCCCAGUUCGGAUUGGAGUCUGGAACUCGACUCCAUGAAGGUGGAAUCGCUAGUAAUCGCGCAUCAGCUCGGCGCGGUGAAUACGUUCCCGGGCCUUGUACACACCGCCCGUCACACCAUGGGAGUUG
rnacentral:rRNA from 1 species